AGUGAACGCUGGCGGUAGGCCUAACACAUGCAAGUCGAACGGCAGCACAGUAAGAGCUUGCUCUUACGGGUGGCGAGUGGCGGACGGGUGAGGAAUACAUCGGAAUCUACUUUUUCGUGGGGGAUAACGUAGGGAAACUUACGCUAAUACCGCAUACGACCUACGGGUGAAAGCAGGGGAUCUUCGGACCUUGCGCGAUUGAAUGAGCCGAUGUCGGAUUAGCUAGUUGGCGGGGUAAAGGCCCACCAAGGCGACGAUCCGUAGCUGGUCUGAGAGGAUGAUCGGCCACACUGGAGGUGAGACACGGUCCAGACUCCUACGGGAGGCAGCAGUGGGGAAUAUUGGACAAUGGGCGCAGGCCUGAUCCAGCCAUACCGCGUGGGUGAAGAAGGCCUUCGGGUUGUAAAGCCCUUUUGUUGGGAAAGAAAAGCAGCAGGUUAAUACCCCGCCGUUCUGACGGUACCCAAAGAAUAAGCACCGGCUAACUUCGUG
rnacentral:rRNA from 1 species